rnacentral:rRNA from 1 species
CCUACGGGAGGCAGCAGUGGGGAAUUUUGGACAAUGGGCGCAAGCCUGAUCCAGCAAUGCCGCGUGAGUGAAGAAGGCCUUCGGGUUGUAAAGCUCUCUUGUCAGGGAAGAAACGGUCUUGGAUAAUACCUGGGGCUAAUGACGGUACCUGAAGAAUAAGCACCGGCUAACUACGUGCCAGCAGCCGCGGUAAU